GACGAACGCUGGCGGCGUGCUUAACACAUGCAAGUCGAACGGAAAGGCCCUGCUUUUGUGGGGUGCUCGAGUGGCGAACGGGUGAGUAACACGUGAGUAACCUGCCCUUGACUUUGGGAUAACUUCAGGAAACUGGGGCUAAUACCGGAUAGGAGCUCCUGCUGCAUGGUGGGGGUUGGAAAGUUUCGGCGGUUGGGGAUGGACUCGCGGCUUAUCAGCUUGUUGGUGGGGUAGUGGCUUACCAAGGCUUUGACGGGUAGCCGGCCUGAGAGGGUGACCGGCCACAUGGGGACUGAGAUACGGCCCAGACGCCUACGGGAGGCAGCAGUGGGGAAUAUGGCACAAUGGGCGGAAGCCUGAUGCAGCAACGCCGCGUGCGGGAUGACGGCCUUCGGGUUGUAAACCGCUUUCGCCUGUGACGAAGCGUGAGUGACGGUAAUGGGUAAAGAAGCACCGGCUAACUACGUG
rnacentral:rRNA from 1 species